AGGACGAACGCUGGCGGCGUGCCUAAUACAUGCAAGUCGAACGGUCUUUCUAUGGAAGCUUGCUUCCACUGAAAAGAUAGUGGCGAACGGGUGAGUAACACGUGGGUAACCUGCCCAUAAGAGGGGGGAUAACAUCCGGAAACGGGUGCUAAUACCGCAUAGUUUUCCUGAUCGCAUGAUCGGGAAAGGAAAGACGGCCUUUGUGCUGUCGCUUAUGGAUGGACCCGCGGCGUAUUAGUUAGUUGGUGAGGUAACGGCUCACCAAGACGAUGAUACGUAGCCGACCUGAGAGGGUGAUCGGCCACAUUGGGACUGAGACACGGCCCAAACUCCUACGGGAGGCAGCAGUAGGGAAUCUUCCGCAAUGGAUGAAAGUCUGACGGAGCAACGCCGCGUGAGUGAAAGAAGGUUUUCGGAUCGUAAAACUCUGUUGUCAGAGAAGAACAAGUUGGAGAGUAACUGCUCCAGCCUUGACGGUAUCUGACCAGAAAGCCACGGCUAACUACGUGCCAGCCGCCGC
rnacentral:rRNA from 1 species